CGAGCGGUAAGGCCCUUCGGGGUACACGAGCGGCGAACGGGUGAGUAACACGUGGGUGAUCUGCCCUGCACUUCGGGAUAAGCCUGGGAAACUGGGUCUAAUACCGGAUACGACCAAAGGCUGCAUGGCUUUUGGUGGAAAGGUUUACUGGUGCAGGAUGGGCCCGCGGCCUAUCAGCUUGUUGGUGGGGUAAUGGCCUACCAAGGCGACGACGGGUAGCCGACCUGAGAGGGUGACCGGCCACACUGGGACUGAGACACGGCCCAGACUCCUACGGGAGGCAGCAGUGGGGAAUAUUGCACAAUGGGCGAAAGCCUGAUGCAGCGACGCCGCGUGAGGGAUGACGGCCUUCGGGUUGUAAACCUCUUUCAGCAGGGACGAAGCGAAAGUGACGGUACCUGCAGAAGAAGCACCGGCCAACUACGUGCCAGCAGCCGCGGUAAUACGUAGGGUGCGAGCGUUGUCCGGAAUUACUGGGCGUAAAGAGUUCGUAGGCGGUUUGUCGCGUCGUCUGUGAAAACCCACCGCUCAACGGUGGGCCUGCAGGCGAUACGGGCAGACUUGAGUACUGCAGGGGAGACUGGAAUUCCUGGUGUAGCGGUGAAAUGCGCAGAUAUCAGGAGGAACACCGGUGGCGAAGGCGGGUCUCUGGGCAGUAACUGACGCUGAGGAACGAAAGCGUGGGUAGCAAACAGGAUUAGAUACCCUGGUAGUCCACGCC
rnacentral:rRNA from 2 species